AUUAAAAAAACCCUGCAGAGCGAACUCUGCAGGGUCCUUCUAUAUCCUAAUGGACAGAAGGCAAAGGGAGAGGAGAAACCGGAGGAAGAACUUAUGGGGAAACGUAAGUCUUCUCCGCGG
rfam:Bacillus coahuilensis p1.1.43 ABFP000023, whole genome shotgun sequence.